rnacentral:rRNA from 1 species
ACAGUGGACGCGAGCAUCUGUGGCCAAGUUUUUAAGGGCGCACGGUGGAUGCCUUGGCACCAGGAACCGAUGAAGGACGUGGGAGGCCACGAUAGUCCCCGGGGAGCCGUCAACCAGGCUUUGAUCCGGGGGUUUCCGAAUGGGGAAACCCGGCAGUCGUCAUGGGCUGUCACCCAUGCCUGAACACAUAGGGCAUGUGGAGGGAACGAGGGGAAGUGAAACAUCUCAGUACCCUCAGGAAGAGAAAACAACCGUGAUUCCGGGAGUAGUGGCGAGCGAAACCGGAUGAGGCCAAACCGUAUGCGUGUGAUACCCGGCAGGGGUUGCGCAUGCGGGGUUGUGGGAUCUCUCUU